GACGAACGCUGGCGGCGCGCCUAAAACAUGCAAGUCGAACGAGAAGCCCGGGCUUGCCCGGGUGGACAGUGGCGAACGGGUGAGUAACACGUGAGGAACCUGCCCCGAAGACCGGGACAACACCGGGAAACCGGUGCUAAUACCGGAUGCCUUCACCGGAUCGCAUGGUCUGGUGAAGAAAUGGAUUCCGCUUCGGGAUGGCCUCGCGGCCUAUCAGCUUGUUGGUGAGGUAACGGCUCACCAAGGCGACGACGGGUAGCUGGUCUGAGAGGAUGUCCAGCCACACUGGGACUGAGACACGGCCCAGACUCCUACGGGAGGCAGCAGUUAGGAAUCUUGCGCAAUGGACGAAAGUCUGACGCAGCGACGCCGCGUGCGGGAUGAAGGCCCUCGGGUUGUAAACCGCUUUCAGCAGGGACGAAAUUGACGGUACCUGCAGAAGAAGCCCCGGCCAACUACGUGCCAGCAGCCGCCGUAA
rnacentral:rRNA from 1 species